CCUUUGACGUUAGCGGCGGACGGGUGAGUAACACGUGGGUAACCUACCUAUAAGACUGGGAUAACUUCGGGAAACCGGAGCUAAUACCGGAUAAUAUUUUGAACCGCAUGGUUCGAUAGUGAAAGAUGGUUUUGCUAUCACUUAUAGAUGGACCCGCGCCGUAUUAGCUAGUUGGUAAGGUAACGGCUUACCAAGGCGACGAUACGUAGCCGACCUGAGAGGGUGAUCGGCCACACUGGAACUGAGACACGGUCCAGACUCCUACGGGAGGCAGCAGUC
rnacentral:rRNA from 1 species